AGAUUGAACGCUGGCGGCAGGCCUAACACAUGCAAGUCGAGCGGCAGCACGGGUACUUGUACCUGGUGGCGAGCGGCGGACGGGUGAGUAAUGCCUAGGAAUCUGCCUGGUAGUGGGGGAUAACGCUCGGAAACGGACGCUAAUACCGCAUACGUCCUACGGGAGAAAGCAGGGGACCUUCGGGCCUUGCGCUAUCAGAUGAGCCUAGGUCGGAUUAGCUAGUUGGUGAGGUAAUGGCUCACCAAGGCGACGAUCCGUAACUGGUCUGGAGGAGUAUG
rnacentral:rRNA from 1 species